ensembl:lncRNA
AGGUUGAUGUGGGAACUCCAGCUGUCUUCCUCUUCUGGAGACCGUUUUGUCCUGAGUUGUGUUCCCCUUGUGCACUUGUAGAAGUCAAAGCCAUCUUCUUCCUCCUUCACGUCCAGUAGGAGACACAGCGGGUCUGUCUGCAAAUCCCCAAGAAGGUGGAGGGUCACGUGAUUGGAUACUUUCCAUCAUAGGCUUAUUGCUGGUCCGUCCCAUGGUGUGACCGGGAUGCUGUGCUGGUUAACCAAAGCCCAGCCUCUGGACAUGGUAUCCCCAGCCCACCCCCAACACCAGGCUUCCCCAGGACAGAGGGCCUGCACCCCAGUGAAAUCUGCUACCCCUGAAAAGGAGGAAAAGUCAUCCUCUGCCAGGACUUCUGUUGUGAUUUUUGAAAGUUACCUUUGGCAGAAGCCUAAACAAGAAGCGUUUCUCCUUGGCGAUGUUUUCUGGCAGAUACGGACUAUUAGGGGAAAGGGAAUUUCUCGAUGAACUCUGAAAUGAGAUUAUCCAGCCAUGUCACCUAGAAAGUAGUUCCUGAAUUCAGCCUAGACACACCCUAGAUGCAAGCACCACAUGCUUUACAUCGAACUCAUGUCUGUUAUGCUCCGAGCCCGUAUCUCUGAACCGACCGAGAGAGCAAGUCCACCACAGUAUUGCAAACGCAAGAAGGGAGUUUGUUUAUUCCUAGCGCUCUAGGGCCCAAGUCUCAUCCCACACAAGGGAAUCUGACAAGAGCCCCGAACAAAGGAGUAUGGCGGCUUAUAUACAGGCAGUUCUUUGUCUCAGUUACAGGAGUAGCUGGCGUUACAUGAUUGGCCAGGCAGGAUGAGCGCAUAUCCUGUCUCUUUCUGGUAAACAUGACUCAGGUCCUAGAGACCGUUGUUUGGUCCCUAACAAUGUCCCCUGCAGUGGAAGAAUGGCGUUCUAACCACUGGACUGCCUGGGAAUUACUUAAAGAAAAAAAGGUGGGGGGUGCUUCCCACGUGGCACUAGUGGUAAAGAAUCCACCUGCCAAUGCAGGAGAAGCAAGAGAAGCGGGGCCCCUCCCUGGGUGGGGAAGACCCCCUGGAGGAGGAAAUGGCACCCCACUCCAGCAUUCUUGCCUGGGAAAUCCCACGGACGGAGGAGCUUGGCAGGCUACAGUCCACAGGGCCACAAAGAGUUGGGCACGACCGAGUGACUGAGCACACACACAUUUUAAAAAAUAUAUGCACACUUGUAUUUAAACAGCAAACUCACAUACGGUGAAGUAGGAAGCAGCAGAAGAAAUUAGAUUUUAUAAUCCAGGUGAACAGAAUAUAUUGUGUUAACAUACGAAAGUGAAAAGUGAAAGUGAAGUAGCUCCGUCGUGUCCUACUCUUUGCAGAUCCCAUGGACUGUAGCCUAGCAGACUCCUCCGUCCAUGAAAUUUUCUGGACAAGAAUACUGGAGUCGGUUGCCAUUUCCUUCUCCAGGGGAUCUUCGCCCCCACCCAGGGAUCGAACCCAGGUCUCCCGAAUUGCAAGCAGACGCUUUAACACAUGAGUUUCCUCUAAAGCCUUUCUUGCUUUAUUUUCUGCCUAUAUGCACCAUUCAGGAGACUUAUUUGUUCUCUGUAAUUUGUAUUAUGCAGUAAAUAUGUUUUUAAUUUCCCAAAUAUAACAUUCGAUUAGACUACUUAAUAUGUUUCACCAAAUUUCUCGUACCUGCCAGCCCUUAUUCUGACAUUCUCUCCAACUCCCACUAAAUACUUCUGAAGAAAGAGUCCUUGGGAAUUAAUUCCCUGGUGACUCAGUGUCUAGGACUCCACACUUCCACUGCAGGGGGCCAGGUUAAAUCCCUUACUGGGGCACUGAGAUCCCAGAAGCCAUGCAGUGUAGGCCAGAAAAAAAAAAAAAAAAAAAAAGAGCUUAACAUGGAAUGACCCAGCAAUGAAUCUCAGAGAACCAAGAGUUAUCUGGUGAAUCUCGACUACCCUGAUUUUUUUUUUAAAUGGACGUAAAACCAAAUUUUAAAGUAGGCAACCCUCAGGUUAGGAAGAGAGACAUGUAUCAAAACGCAAUUUGUCGGUUUUUUAUUUUUUGGUGUGGAGAAUCAUGUUUGCAUUAAACAAUAUGUUACAAAGGGUGCCUCUCCAGUGUCCUAUAUACAUGGGAAUUGACUUAUAAUAAUCAAGGACUCAGGUAGAUUUAAAGCAGGCUAUCCACAAGUUUGGAUGCUAAGGGCAGGGAACUUUAAUGGAAUAUAGGAAAACCCUGUCUACCAACAGCACAACCUUCCAGGUUGUCUGAUUCUAGUCUCUCAUAGUCUUGGAGCUGUUUUCUAUCUCAGUAAGUUGUAGGUGCCUAUGUUAAUUUCUCAGGACUAUUGUAACAAAGUGCUGCCAACUAAGUAGCUUAGAACAGAAAUAGGUUGUUUCAGAGCUCUGGAGGCUAGAAGUCAGC